rnacentral:rRNA from 1 species
CCUACGGGUGGCUGCAGUCGAGAAUUUUUCUCAAUGGGGGCAACCCUGAAGGAGCGACGCCGCGUGGAGGAUGAAGGUUUUCGGAUUGUAAACUCCUGUCAUUGGUGAACAAGGCUUCCCGGAGUAACUGCCGGGAGGAUCGAUAGUAGCCGAAGAGGAAGGGACGGCUAACUCUGUGCCAGCAGCCGCGGUAAUACAGAGGUCCCGAGCGUUGUUCGGAUUCAUUGGGCGUAAAGGGUGCGUAGGCGGCGGGGUAAGUCUGAUGUGAAAGGCUG